rnacentral:rRNA from 1 species
CUUUUAAAUAAGGAAGAGUUUGUGGUGGAUGCCUUGGGUCUGGAAGUCGAUGAAGGACG